rnacentral:rRNA from 1 species
CAGCCGCCGCGGGAAUACGUAGGGUGCAAGCGUUGUCCGGAAUUAUUGGGCGUAAAGAGCUCGUAGGCGGCUCGUCGCGUCGGCUGUGAAAACCUAGGGCUCAACCCUGGGCUUGCAGCCGAUACGGGCGAGCUAGAAUUCGGUAGGGGAGACUGGAAUUCCUGGUGUAGCGGUGAAAUGCGCAGAUAUCAGGAGGAACACCGGUGGCGAAGGCGGGUCCCUGGGCCGAUAUUGACGCUGAGGAGCGAAAGCGUGGGGAGCAAACAGGAUUAGAUACCCCCGUAGUCCCUGUCUCUUAUAA